GAUCAUGGCUCAGGAUGAACGCUAGCUACAGGCUUAACACAUGCAAGUCGAGGGGCAGCAUGGUCUUAGCUUGCUAAGACUGAUGGCGACCGGCACACGGGUGAGUAGCACGUAUCCAACCUGCCGUCUACUCUUGGACAGCCUUCUGAAAGGAAGAUUAAUACAAGAUGGCAUCAUGAGUCCGCAUGUUCACAUGAUUAAAGGUAUUCCGGUAGACGA
rnacentral:rRNA from 1 species